rnacentral:rRNA from 1 species
CGAACGCUGGCGGCGUGCUUAACACAUGCAAGUCGACCGGAAAGGCCCUGCUUUUGUGGGGUGCUCGAGUGGCGAACGGGUGAGUAACACGUGAGUAACCUGCCCUUGACUUUGGGAUAACUUCAGGAAACUGGGGCUAAUACCGGAUAGGAGCUCCUGCUGCAUGGUGGGGGUUGGACAGUUUCGGCGGUUGGGGAUGGACUCGCGGCUUAUCAGCUUGUUGGUGGGGUAGUGGCUUACCAAGGCUUUGACGGGUAGCCGGCCUGAGAGGGUGACCGGCCACAUUGGGACUGAGAUACGGCCCAGACUCCUACGGGAGGCAGCAGUGGGGAAUAUUGCACAAUGGGCGGAAGCCUGAUGCAGCAACGCCGCGUGCGGGAUGACGGCCUUCGGGUUGUAAACCGCUUUCGCCUGUGACGAAGCGUGAGUGACGGUAAUGGGUAAAGAAGCACCGGCUAACUACGUG